AAUUGACGGGGGCCCGCACAAGCGGUGGAGCAUGUGGUUUAAUUCGAUGCAACGCGAAGAACCUUACCUGGUCUUGACAUCCACGGAAGUUUUCAGAGAUGAGAAUGUGCCUUCGGGAACCGUGAGACAGGUGCUGCAUGGCUGUCGUCAGCUCGUGUUGUGAAAUGUUGGGUUAAGUCCCGCAACGAGCGCAACCCUUAUCCUUUGUUGCCAGCGGUCCGGCCGGGAACUCAAAGGAGACUGCCAGUGAUAAACUGGAGGAAGGUGGGGAUGACGUCAAGUCAUCAUGGCCCUUACGACCAGGGCUACACACGUGCUACAAUGGCGCAUACAAAGAGAAGCGACCUCGCGAGAGCAAGCGGACCUCAUAAAGUGCGUCGUAGUCCGGAUUGGAGUCUGCAACUCGACUCCAUGAAGUCGGAAUCGCUAGUAAUCGUGGAUCAGAAUGCCACGGUGAAUACGUUCCCGGGCCUUGUACACACCGCCCGUCACACCAUGGGAGUGGGUUGCAAAAGAAGUAGGUAGCUUAACCUUCGGGAGGGCGCUUACCACUUUGUGAUUCAUGACUGGGGUGAAGUCGUAACAAGGUAACCGUAGGGGAACCUGCGGUUGGAUCACCUCCUUA
rnacentral:rRNA from 1 species